rnacentral:rRNA from 1 species
CCUACGGGAGGCAGCAGUGAGGAAUAUUGGUCAAUGGACGAGAGUCUGAACCAGCCAAGUAGCGUGAAGGAUGACUGCCCUAUGGGUUGUAAACUUCUUUUAUAUGGGAAUAAAAUGUUCCACGUGUGGGAUUUUGUAUGUACCAUAUGAAUAAGGAUCGGCUAACUCCGUGCCAGCAGCCGCGGUAAUACGGAGGAUCCGAGCGUUAUCCGGAUUUAUUGGGUUUAAAGGGAGCGUAGGUGGAUUGUUAAGUCAGUUGUGAAAGUUUGCGGCUCAACCGUAAAAUUGCAUUUGAAACUGGCAGUCUUGAGUACAGUAGAGGUGGGCGGAAUUCGUGGUGUAGCGGUGAAAUGCUUAGAUAUCACGAAGAACUCCGAUUGCGAAGGCAGUUCACUGGACUGCAACUGACACUGAGGCUCGAAAGUGUGGGUAUCAAACAGGAUUAGAUACCCGUGUAGUC